GGAUUUACUGGGCAUAAAGCGUGCGUAGGCGGCUUUUUAAGUCGGAUGUGACAUCCCCGAGCUUAACUUGGGAAUUGCAUCCGAUACUGGGAAGCUAGAGUAUGGGAGAGGAUGGUAGAAUUCCAGGUGUAGCGGUGAAAUGCGUAGAGAUCUGGAGGAAUACCGAUGGCGAAGGCAGCCAUCUGGCCUAAUAAUGACGCUGAGGUACGAAAGCAUGGGGAGCAAACAGGAUUAGAUACCCUGGUAGUCCAUGCCGUAAACGAUGUCUACUAGCCGUUGGGGCCUUUGAGGCUUUAGUGGCGCAGCUAACGCGAUAAGUAGACCGCCUGGGGAGUACGGUCGCAAGACUAAAACUCAAAUGAAUUGACGGGGGCCCGCACAAGCGGUGGAGCAUGUGGUUUAAUUCGAUGCAACGCGAAGAACCUUACCUGGUCUUGACAUAGUAAGAACUUUCCAGAGAUGGAUUGGUGCCUUCGGGAACUUACAUACAGGUGCUGCAUGGCUGUCGUCAGCUCGUGUCGUGAGAUGGUGGGUUAAGUCCCGCAACGAGCGCAACCCUUUUCCUUAUUUGCCAGCACUUCGGGUGGGAACUUUAAGGAUACUGCCAGUGACAAACUGGAGGAAGGCGGGGACGACGUCAAGUCAUCAUGGCCCUUACGACCAGGGCUACACACGUGCUACAAUGGUCGGUACAAAGGGUUGCUACCUAGCGAUAGGAUGCUAAUCUCAAAAAGCCGAUC
rnacentral:rRNA from 2 species